CUCUACACAAAGCUCUGACUGUGCUGACUUGCACAUGCCCAGAGCAAUUAGGGUCUGUUGAAACCUCAGGGCCCAGUGAGAGGUCCUGGGUUAGGCAGAAGAGGUGACCCAAGUAUUCAUCUAUGAAAUGGCCAAGACAGAGUCAAGGCAGGAGUUUGUAAACCUGGAAACAGAGCCAGAAUUCGGGGUCUGACAUUGAACAGCUAUCAAAAGAAGUCAAGGUGCUAGUGAGACAUGUUUUUGCACCACUUGGAAGAAAAAGUAGAUAGCUCCCUGAAGCUCAGUUUCAUUGCCCGGCACAAAUGUCUUGAAGAAAUGGCAGCUUUUAGGAGUGAUGGAGAAAUGAAGUUGGGCAGAUUGUGCCAGAAGCACUGGUGAGCUGGUGACAUUACUGCUCAACUGGGAAGGUGAGGGCAUAAGGACAUCUCUGGACAGCAGCAAAGCCAGAAUGUGUAUGGUGAUUGUAUCCCUGGUAAUUCCUCUUUGGAGCUUCCCUGUUGGCUCAGGGAUGAAGAAUCCACCUGCCAGUUCAGCAGAAACAGGUUUGAUCCCUAGGUGGAGAAGAUCCUCCGGAGGAGGGAGUGGCAACCCACUCCAGUAUUCUUGUCAGGAAAUCCCAUGGACAAAGGAGCCUGGAAAGCUACAGUCCUUGGGGUCACAAGAGCCAAACACAACUUAGUGAUGAAGCAACAACAACCAUUUCCUGUUUUAUAUCAGAUGUGAGGUGUUUGGA
ensembl:lncRNA